rnacentral:miRNA from 1 species
ACUCCAAAACAGAGCACAGCG